CUACGGGCGGCAGCAGUAAGGAAUAUUGCGCAAUGGAGGCAACUCUGACGCAGCCAUGCCGCGUGCAGGAAGAAGGCCUUAUGGGUCGUAAGCUGCUUUUAUUUAGGAAUAAACCCCCGAACGUGUUCGGGGCUGAAGGUACUAAACGAAUAAGCACCGGCUAACUCCGUGCCAGCAGCCGCGGUAAUACGGAGGGUGCAAGCGUUAUCCGGAUUUAUUGGGUUUAAAGGGUGCGCAGGCGGGCUAUUAAGUCAGUGGUGAAAUCCCGGGGCUCAACUCCGGAACUGCCAUUGAUACUGAUAGUCUUGAGUUUGGUUGAAGUGGGCGGAAUGUAGCAUGUAGCGGUGAAAUGCAUAGAUAUGCUACAGAACACCAAUCGCGAAGGCAGCUCACUAAGCCAAAACUGACGCUCAUGCACGAAAGCGUGGGGAUCAAACAGGAUUAGAUACCCCGGUAGUC
rnacentral:rRNA from 1 species